UGAUGAUAAUUGACGUUAAACCGAGCCAAUGGCCGUGAAGAACGCUGUUUCUCUGAGUAAGGGUUUUUGUUCCAGGAGGAAAUAGGGUUUUUGUGCCAGUUCAGCCAAUACGUGGCAGAUGUGGUAACGGCUUCCACAUUUCAUGCGAUAGGAUUGGCCAGCCCUGGGCAUGACUGACAGUAGCUCCAGCCUACAUGUGCUACGUGACGAGUACGUGUGCUUUGUGUGCUCUGUUUAUCGGUGGACUCUUUGGUGUUCCUGUACGGUUCAAAUGGUAAUUUUUAGUAUCAGAUACAAAAGUAGUCACACCGCGGGAAAUGUGUAAUCAGGAAAAAAGUAUGUCAAUAGACUUUGGUGGGACAAGAAAACUUUAAUAACGACAACGCCGUGGACAAAAUAAAGACCUCAGAGCCCGUUGAUAUGCACUUGAGAGUCGACAAAACAUGAAUGAACUUGUGCAUCAAUUUUCAAAAAAGAAAACAAAGGCGUGAGAGCCAACACCCCAAGACAGACGUGUGGCCUACGAGGAAAAAAAUCAAACAGUACGUUUCUGGCAUUCAUCAGACACCUUAAUCCAGAGUAACUAACAUUGUACUUCAUCUUAUAUAAGUAACAGUUGACGCCUGUGCUCAGGGGCCCCGCGGCGGGAUUCGGCCUCGUGACCUUCUGAGUUACCCAACGCCUUAACCAUAAGGCUACCAUGCCCUAAUUGCACUAAGGAAAAUCAUUACCAAAAUUCAAGUAAUUCUUGUUGUGCUAGCUCAAAUGUUCCUAUCUCCUAUGCUAUGUCCAUCUGUGCCUUUUGUGUGUUCAGCUCUUCAUUGCUGAGCUUGAUAAGGUCUUCCUCUUGUGGGUAGGUGCUUAGUCUCUCUGCAGCAUGUAUCUUUAAUAGAGAGCAUGAGGACAGCAGACCUGAGCACACAGAGUAGUGUCUGCGAGUGUGAUCAAUAAAAUGACUGGAAUGCGCCACGAACUGCAGGAAAAGAGACAGAUUCAUGAGUAUGGAGUAAUCUACAGAAACUGCUGCACAUGAGCAUAAUUCAGAUUUUCAAGCACAAUUCAUGCAUUUCUCAUUUUACAAUGCAUUUCUUCUCAUUAAACAAUCUAAUAUUUGCUUGCAAGCUAACCUAAGUAAAGUAAAUAAGCCAGGAUCUAAAGUAAAAAAACUAUUAAUUGUAACUUUCUCUUACUUAAGUGUAAGGGAAAACUGUAAACUUUACUAUAUUAGUUUAUUAUAUUAGAAUCAGGUUUAUUGGCCAAGUGUGUUGAGACAAACAAGGAAUCUGGUUCCAGCUGUUGGUGACUCUCAAAUGUAUAGACAUAAAUAACACUAUGCUUGGCUUGACACUUGACACAUGACACUUAGCUUGGACUAUACAAGACGAAAACAGACAAGACAAGACAAACAGACUAUACAAGGCAAUACAGGCAAUGUUAGACGAUAUAGACAGUACGAGUAUUAAAUAGGAAUUCAGAGUAUAUAUACAGUUUCUGUGGAAUAAAAAUUGUUUAAAACAUGAUGACAAAAAAAUUACCAAUUUUUUUCUUUUUUUCUUAUUCUUUUUUUUAAUCAGACCUAAUCUGAUUAAAUCAAUUAGAAAAUAUCUAACUUUUAAUAUUCAAUGAUGCACUAUGUGGAAUCUAAAUAUACUGUAAGUUAACAAUCUUUUUUUGAAAUCAUUUUCUUUUGUAAAACUUUAAUAGCAGAUAAGUUGAUAAGUGAUGCAUAGCAAUCUGAAUAUGAAUUAAAUGGUUGAAAUUGACAAAUAUUCCAAUUUAAAUACACAAUAGGAAUCUAAUUAUGUUCAUUUUAGUGCAAAACAAUAAACACAAUACAAUUAUUUCAA